CUUUAAGACACUUUGUAGCAUAAAUGGAAUUUACAGAACAUAUUUCAAUUAAGUUAGUUAGGACAUAAGAAGGGGGUGCAAAGAGUGAAGCUGCAAUUGUCUCCUCAGAAACCACAGAAUGUCACAAGUAAAGAAUUUAUGCUUACUUGCCAGACACUGAAACUAGACUAAAAGUUCAAAGCAUAACAUGAAAGUAAAAAACAGACUGGACAUCCAGUCAUCUGUAGCUUGAGCCUGGGGUCAAGGAGCCUUCCGUCACAAUUCCCCUCUUUUUGACCCCAAGGCUCACCCAAGAGUUAUGUCCAGGUAUGCUAGUCAUACCUGUAGCUCUUUUAUUAUGCCUUCACCACGGUUCCCUCAGUUAUACAGCACUGUAGGUGUCAGAGGUUGAGGAAGCUGGCAUAUAAAUUAAGGUACGACUAACAUGAGGUUUUGAUUUACACAAGGAUGAGGACAGCAGAAGAACUUAAAGGUCAGAAAAAUCAUCACUAUGAUAAAUACUGCGAUAAGUAAGAAAUACAAUAUUUUCUUAAUUAGCACAUUGAGCCACGUACCAAGACCAAAGGUCCAAUCCCAAUCCACAAAGAACCCUGUAUCUUGUUUUAUUUCCCUCACUAGACCGUGCAGAUUCUGUAUAUGCUCAU